rnacentral:rRNA from 1 species
AGAGUUUGAUCCUGGCUCAGAACGAACGCUGGCGGCAGGCCUAACACAUGCAAGUCGAGCGCGCCUUCGGGUGAGCGGCGGACGGGUUAGUAACGCGUGGGAACGUACCCUUCUCUACGGAAUAGCCUUUGGAAACGAAGAGUAAUACCGUAUACGCCCUUUGGGGGAAAGAUUUAUCGGAGAAGGAUCGGCCCGCGUUAGAUUAGAUAGUUGGUGGGGUAACGGCCUACCAAGUCUACGAUCUAUAGCUGGUUUUAGAGGAUGAUCAGCAACACUGGGACUGAGACACGGCCCAGACUCCUACGGGAGGCAGCAGUGGGGAAUCUUAGACAAUGGGCGCAAGCCUGAUCUAGCCAUGCCGCGUGAGUGAUGAAGGCCUUAGGGUCGUAAAGCUCUUUCGCCUGUGAUGAUAAUGACAGUAGCAGGUAAAGAAACCCCGGCUAACUCCGUGCCAGCAGCCGCGGUAAUACGGAGGGGGUUAGCGUUGUUCGGAAUUACUGGGCGUAAAGCGCACGUAGGCGGAUUGGAAAGUUGGGGGGUGAAAUCCCGGGGCUCAACCCCGGAACUGCCUCCAAAACUAUCAGUCUAGAGUUCGAGAGAGGUGAGUGGAAUUCCAAGUGUAGAGGUGAAAUUCGUAGAUAUUUGGAGGAACACCAGUGGCGAAGGCGGCUCACUGGCUCGAUACUGACGCUGAGGUGCGAAAGUGUGGGGAGCAAACAGGAUUAGAUACCCUGGUAGUCCACACCGUAAACGAUGAAUGCCAGUCGUCGGGCAGUAUACUGUUCGGUGACACACCUAACGGAUUAAGCAUUCCGCCUGGGGAGUACGGUCGCAAGAUUAAAACUCAAAGGAAUUGACGGGG